CGGUGAGGUUCUAGAAGGGAAGGAGGAGGUGCUGGCUCCCUCCUCCCUCUCCCCAAUCCUCCUGUUCCUCCUGGCUUGUCUCUGAUCUUGUUCCCCAGGAAACCCCUCCCACCUCACCUGGUUCUGCAAAACCAUGAUCACAUUGGGCCCCCAACUCAGCUGACGGUCCCCUCUUCCCCCUGGCCGAGUCUGGUGGGAAGAGGCAGGAGAAGAGGGUGGUUCAGUAGCACUGCACAGAGAUUUUACAUGGGUUUCAUUUUACUUCAUUUUCUCCCUUCUCGUCUCCUCCCUGAGGGUUCUCCAGACUCAGAGUGUCCCGCUUGCAGUCACAGGCCCGGGGCUUUUUGUUCAGUGUCUGAGCCCCCACCCUGCGCCCUGUCCCUGGGAAGGGAGGUGCGGCAAGAGGGCCCUCCCCACCACUCAGUGGUUGUCUCUUCUCUCCUCGGUCUCUCUGAUGAGUGCUGGCACAAGAGGGUCUGGGGCUCUGGACCAUGCACACAACAACAGGCUGACCAAUGGAGAUUCACUUUCCAUUCUGGUCCCUUGGCAGGAAGAGAAGCUGACAGGAUAACGCCCAGUCCCGAGAUGCAGCAGGCAGGCUGUCUGUUGGAACCAGCAGCACCUGAAGGAUCUCAGCGGAGAAGAUGGCUGCUGGUUCCAACAGAUGGCACUCAAAGCCUGAAGCUAUUCUUCAGUGACUUUGCAGCUAUCUUUUCCUUGUGACUUCUGUGAUUCGCUCCUGAGGCAGUUGGGCCUCACAUGAAAUGAGAUCCUUGUGGGCAGAGAAUAGGCCUGGGUCUCUCCGGAUGCCUUGUGUGAAAUACUGCCAGUCACCAAGAAGGAACAGAGGACCUCAGUCAACACCCUGAUGGAUGCCUUGGAAAUGCUGGGGCAAAGAGUGACAAAAGAGACCAUUCAAGAGGGCCUGCUGAACUCAGGAAAGUAUUAACAUGUUUAUGAAGAAAGUGAGACAGGCUCUGCUGUGCCCUGAGUGUUUGAGGACCUCAGUCUUUCAGCUCAGGACACACUCCUAAUAGGCUUCUAGUUUUUAUUUGUAUUGGUUUGAAAUUUGUCAUUCAUGGUAAUAGGUAUGCAUUUUAUGAUGUAACUUAUAAUGAAA